rnacentral:lncRNA from 1 species
AAACUCCUGUGAGAAGAUCUCUGACGGUUGUAGAUCUGGCAGGCUGGGUCUCUAUAACGUGUAGAAAUGGAGAGGAAAAAAAGUGUAGACUUGAAAAAUUUCACAGCAAAACUGUUUUAUCAAGACAAUUUUCCACAAGUUCUAUACUUCAUAAAUAUGCUACCUACGUUUCACGGCUGCCCAUUGCUUAUGGUGCCAAACACAAAAAUUACAGGCGUUUUCAUCAGUACUUUUACAAUAACCCUGUGGAUCUAAUUUGUCAUAUGCUGUCUAAAUAGCACCAGAAAUUAAGUUAAUAUAUUAGUCUGUAGAUUUGUUUGAGUUGAAGAAACCUG